UGGGGAAUAUUGCACAAUGGGGGAAACCCUGAUGCAGCCAUGCCGCGUGUGUGAAGAAGGCCUUCGGGUUGUAAAGCACUUUCAGUAGGGAGGAAGGGUUGAUGUCUAAUACGCAUCAACAUUGACGUUACCUACAGAAGAAGCACCGGCUAACUCCGUGCCAGCAGCCGCGGUAAUACGGAGGGUGCAAGCGUUAAUCGGAAUAACUGGGCGUAAAGCGCACGCAGGCGGUUAGAUAAGUCAGAUGUGAAAUCCCCGGGCUCAACCUGGGAACUGCAUUUGAAACUGUCUGACUAGAGUCUUGUAGAGGGGGGUAGAAUUCCAGGUGUAGCGGUGAAAUGCGUAGAGAUCUGGAGGAAUACCGGUGGCGAAGGCGGCCCCCUGGACAAAGACUGACGCUCAGGUGCGAAAGCGUGGGGAGCAAACA
rnacentral:rRNA from 2 species